UACGUAGGGUGCAAGCGUUGUCCGGAAUUAUUGGGCGUAAAGAGCUCGUAGGCGGUCUGUCGCGUCGGAUGUGAAAACCCAGGGCUCAACCCUGGGCCUGCAUUCGAUACGGGCAGACUAGAAUUCGGUAGGGGAGUCUGGAAUUCCUGGUGUAGCGGUGAAAUGCGCAGAUAUCAGGAGGAACACCGGUGGCGAAGGCGGGACUCUGGGCCGAAUCUGACGCUGAGGCGCGAAAGCGUGGGGAGCAAACAGG
rnacentral:rRNA from 1 species